rnacentral:tRNA from 1 species
GCCUGCAUGGUGUAGAGGUCAGCACGCUCGACGCGUAAUCGAGAGGUCCGUGGUUCGAUUCCCGGAGAAGGCU